UCAUCAAAAGACAAAAAUAAUGUUAAGUCGUCGAGAUUCAACAACGAUGGAAUAUUACUGCAAAAAAAGAAAAAUGGAAAACAGUUUCGCCAAUUUUUCACACUAUGAUUUCCAUUAUGUGUGCCCAAAAAGCGGACAAUUUAUUUCAAAAGGAAAUAAAAAACGGGAGGUGUUAUCCAAAAAAACGAACUGCCCAGUUACACUGAUUGCGCGAGUGGACAUUAAAAGAAAAAGUCUAAUUGUUAAAACAUGGAAAAACACACACUGCCAUGAACCAGAAGUUGCGAUACAGAAACAAAAUACUGCGAGUACAUCUCUCACUGUCAAAACCAAACCUACAACAUAAAAAAACUCAUCCCAUGACCAGAAGAUGCAACAAAAUAGUACCGCUCCUUCAGCAUCAAACAUCCAGACACUUCAGGAAAAAGAUAUACAGGAUCAAAGCAUUGUUGAUGCAUCUGUAUCUGACGAUACCAAUUUUUC